CAAUGGCACUGCCCGGUAGCUAAAUGCGGAAGAGAUAAGGGCUGAAAGCAUCUAAGCACGAAACUUGCCCCGAGAUGAGUUCUCCCUGACUCCUUGAGAGUCCUGAAGGAACGUUGAAGACGACGACGUUGAUAGGCCGGGUGUGUAAGCGCAGCGAUGCGUUGAGCUAACCGGUACUAAUGAACCGUGAGGCUUAACCUUACAACGCCGAAGGUGUUU
rnacentral:rRNA from 1 species